AGUGUGUGUUGCGAAGUCUGAAUACCAAAUGUGCAUUCCUUCGAUUCUACAAAGAAAAUUAAAAAAAAAUCAAAAAAGGAAACAGUUUAUGAUAAUAAAAAUGUGAUAGAAUCUAACGAUGAAUAUGAAGAUGACGAUGAAUAUACAGAUUUAAGUAAAAAUAGUUCAAGUAAUCAAUCUACAAGAAUAUUAAAAAAACCGGAGAAAUGCUUAGCAGGAAAGAUAGUAUAAAUAGUAGUACAGAAAAAAGAAAGAAGAGAAUAUCUCCUUUUGGUCGUAAAAGAAGACAAGCUAAUAAAAUCCGAUGGACUGAUAAUGAACGCGAAGCGGUCUUAUCCUCAUUUUCAGUCAAUAUAAAAAAUAAUAAAUUGCCAUCUUUUAGUCAAAUAAAUGAAAUAAAAGUCAAGUAUCCUAUAUUGAAAAACCGCACAAACGCUCAAAUAAAAUCUUGGAUUAGUAAUCAAAUAAAAACAAAAAGUUAAUUAUUUUAAAGGUAUUAUUAUAUAUAUUUAAAAGUAUAACUAUUCUAAAAAUUUGAUACGUUCAAUACAAAAAGACAAAACAAUAUUGAAUGUUUUGUUUUUUUUUAUU